rnacentral:rRNA from 1 species
AGUGAACGCUGGCGGUAGGCCUAACACAUGCAAGUCGAACGGCAGCACAGUAAGAGCUUGCUCUUACGGGUGGCGAGUGGCGGACGGGUGAGGAAUACAUCGGAAUCUACUUUUUCGUGGGGGAUAACGUAGGGAAACUUACGCUAAUACCGCAUACGACCUACGGGUGAAAGCAGGGGAUCUUCGGACCUUGCGCGAUUGAAUGAGCCGAUGUCGGAUUAGCUAGUUGGCGGGGUAAAGGCCCACCAAGGCGACGAUCCGUAGCUGGUCUGAGAGGAUGAUCCGCCACCCUGGAACUGAGACACGGUCCCGACUCCUACGGGAGGCAGCAGUGGGGAAUAUUGGACAAUUGGCGCAAGCCUGAACCAGCCCUACCGCGUGGGUGAAGAAGGCCUUCGGGUUGUAAAGCCCUUUUUUUGGGAAAGAAAAGCAGCAGGUUAAUACCCCGCUGUUCUGACGGUACCCAAAGAAUAAGCACCGGCUAACUUCGUG